GACAGAGGGUGCAAACGUUGUCCGGAUUUAUUGGGCGUAAAGAGCGUGUAGGCGGCCAGGUAGGUCUGCUGUGAAAACUCGAGGCUCAACCUCGAGACGUCGGCGGAAACCAUCUGGCUAGAGUCCGGAAGAGGAGAGUGGAAUUCCUGGUGUAGCGGUGAAAUGCGCAGAUAUCAGAAAGAACACCCGUGGCGAAGGCGGCUCUCUGGGACGGUACUGACGCUGAGACGCGAAAGCGUGGGGAGCGAACAGG
rnacentral:rRNA from 1 species